rnacentral:rRNA from 1 species
GACGUAGGGCGCGAGCGUUGUCCGGAUUUAUUGGGCGUAAAGAGCUCGUAGGCGGCUUGUUGCGUCAGCUGUGAAAACCCACGGCUCAACUGUGGGCUUGCAGUCGAUACGGGCAGGCUAGAGUUCGGCAGGGGAGACUGGAAUUCCUGGUGUAGCGGUGAAAUGACGCAGAUAUCAGGAGGAACACCGGUGGCGAAGGCGGGUCUCUGGGCCGAUACUGACACUGGAGGAGCGAAAGCGUGGGGAGCGAACAGG